rnacentral:lncRNA from 1 species
CUAGGUGAGCAGAUAUAGUCACAGGAGUCAUCACUUGGCCUAAUCCACGCCAGACCUCCAACCACAACUGUCUAUCGCCAGUGUGGAGUCCAGAUCCUCGCUUCCUCAGGAAGUCCUUUAUCUAUUCCAACCUUAUUUCCUCAACUUCGUCCAGCAUGUCCCCAAAGACCAUGCUCUUUCGCAAAUAUGGAUGGAAAUGGAGACUCUCCUGUCGCAUAGUGACCGAGGACGCCUCUUCCGUCUGCACUUCGCCCCAAGUUUUGAUGUAUCAGGAAAAGUAGGAGUGUCACCGCCCUGUUCCGUCCUGCCCUACAUUCCCGGUGUCCAGGAAAAAGGAAUUGAUCAUUCCAUAUAACACAGGCUAGCCUCAAACUAGCUAUGUGCCCGACGCUGUCCGUAAAGUCUUCUACGUGCUGAGACUGCAGGAAUGUGUCACCUCUAUUAAGUCAUCCACACUGCCUGCCUGUGGGAACCUGGAAGCCCCGCCUCUGCCAUCCAGCUAGCAUCUUUAUCGAUCGACCAAAAACCAAUUGGAGAACAGGACCUUCCGUGUUCACACGCAGAUUCCUGAUCAAAGCAUCAGAAACACGCCCUACACAGGAGGCAGAAACAGGCGGGUCUCUGAGAGUUCGAGGCCAACCUGGUCUGCCUAGUGAGUUUCACAUCAGCCAAACAUACAAAGUGAGACCCUGUC